GUUAUUUAAGAUUUUAUUUUGUAUUAAAUAGUGUUUAAACUAUUUAGAAUAUACAUUAAUUUAUAUUACAUAUCUAGAAGGGAGAUUACGCACGCAUGCAUUAGACAAAUACGCAAUUCAAGUUUACUUAUAACUUUAUUACAGAGUCGGUUAGAAAAAAAACAUAGCUGUAAAGAGUCUUCGGAUAAGGAGAUAGAUGAUGCAGCUAAAGAUUGGCGGCGCUUAAGCCUUGACAGAGAAGGUGGCAAGAAACAGAGAAGGGAAAAAAAGAAUAACAUAUAUAAAUAAUAAUGACACUGUUGAAGUUCAAAUUGAGGAGGACACUACUCGUGGUGACGACCAAUGAUAUCAAAUUUAAA
rnacentral:lncRNA from 1 species